UGGGGCAAAGCUUAGUGGUAGAGUAUAUGCUUAGCAGGUGUGAGGCUCUGGGUUCAAUUUCCAGCACCCCAA
rnacentral:tRNA from 1 species